rnacentral:rRNA from 1 species
UACGUGAGGCGCAAGCGUUAUCCGGAAUUAUUGGGCGUAAAGAGCUCGUAGGCGGUUUGUCGCGUCUGCCGUGAAAGUCCGGGGCUCAACUCCGGAUCUGCGGUGGGUACGGGCAGACUAGAGUGAUGUAGGGGAGACUGGAAUUCCUGGUGUAGCGGUGAAAUGCGCAGAUAUCAGGAGGAACACCGAUGGCGAAGGCAGGUCUCUGGGCAUUAACUGACGCUGAGGAGCGAAAGCGUGGGGAGCGAACAGG